UGGGAGAAGCCACAGCCACAAAACAGACUUGCCUCUCUGCCCUCUUCUCUUUCCCCUCGGGCGACGGCGGUGGGGUGCUAUCCGGCGAGAUGUCCACCAACGGCGUCGACUGCGCCGUGUAUGCGCUACGGGCGGGGCGGCAGGUUAAUUCGAUGCAACCCAUAGCUGUGGUGCCUCGGGUGGAGUCCAAGCUUCGAUGGGUGUCGCAGAUGGCCUGAUUUGUCGCGUUGCCGAUCCAGCAGUGCCCAACUCCGGUGAUUUCCAGUUGGACUGAAACGGGGGAUUUGAGGUGUGCUCUGAAGCUACGAGCAGAUGGACAAGAAGGUAUAGCGCCUGCGAAGGACUGGCGUACUGCAGGUCGACAUACUUCAAGAGAAUAAGCAAAGGUCUAGGUUCUGCACCAUACGUCGAGGUCAGGGACACAAGAUUACCAGAUGCAUGUGCUGAACGAGGUGACAUCUCUAAUGCUCCAAAGAAAUUGCCAAAGUGUUUGAAGUGUGUAGUGCUUGGUCACAGGAAGAAUGUGUGACUUACCGAUCAAUUUGAGCCGAACUUCCUUUACCCCCGCUUUAUCAAAUGUAGCAAGAGUGUUUCGAAAUUCAGUUUCUCUACAUUUCAGUUCAUAAUUUUGUUCAUGUUCACCGGGUCAUUGUUGUGAUGACUGUUUGGGACUUAAUGAGAUAUUUUAUUCAAAUUGUCGGGACAUUUAAUUGAUA